rnacentral:lncRNA from 1 species
AUAUAUAUAUAUAUAUAUAAAAUUUUGGAAAAACUUCAAAAAGCAUUUGCCACCUGUGGUUUAAAAUGUAUCAAAUUGCCCCCCUGUGGUUUCGUUUUUAUCUUUUCGGUAGCUUUUUCGUUAAUAUUUCAUUAAAUUAUAUACAAAAAACUUUAGAUACCCAUCUAGAUUUAUCAAAUAUUCACUUUAGUACCCUUUAAUUUUAACUUUAUCACUGAUUUAAGAAAAAAAAUAAUAAAAUUGAUAAGAAAAAGAGAAAAAAGAAACCACAUGAGGGCAAAUUUAUAUAUUUUAAACUAGGGGGGCAAAGUGAGAAACUACGAAACCACAGGGGUUUUUUUUGAAGUUUUCCCA